GGAGAAUGCAGCCCUUCCCUCCGGCCGCUUUAUAAUGAGAGCCAGCACCGGGACCAUCCCGUGAGCACCCUGCUGCCCCCCGCGUUAUUGCCCAGCCGCUAGCGCCGGCGCCAUUGCAGCCCCCCGGCCGCGCCGCUGCCGUGAGCUGAGGAGGAUCCGCCCGGGACGAGCGGCCAUGGCCUCUGCAGCCGUCGGGAUUCGCCRCUGCGGCGCGCUCGGCCCGUGCGGAGCGGCCGUGGAGCCCCRCUAGGAGCGAGCAGCCCCGGUGCCAGGCCGGAGGCAAAGAGGAGCAAACCCACCAAUCACGCAAGAGCCGGGCAUCCGCAUCCGGAUCCA
rnacentral:lncRNA from 1 species